GCCUGGCUAGCUCAGUCGGUAGAGGAUGUGACUCUUGAUCUCAGGGUUGUGGGUUAAAGCCCCAUGUUGGUUG
rnacentral:tRNA from 1 species